rnacentral:rRNA from 1 species
GAUGAACGCUGGCGGCGUGCCUCAAACAUGCAAGUCGAGCGAGGCUAUGAGUUACCGCAAGGUAAGGCAUAGCCUAGCGGCGAACGGGUGAGUAACACGUGGGUAACCUACCUGGAAGACAGGGAUAACGAUUCGAAAGGGUCGCUAAUACCUGAUAAUAUCCAUCUGCCGGAUGGCGGAGGGAAGAAAGGGGAAACCCGCUUUCAGAUGGGCCCGCGUCCCAUCAGCUAGUUGGUAAGGUAAAGGCUUACCAAGGCGACGACGGGUAGCCGGUCUGAGAGGAUGUACGGCCACACUGGGACUGAGAUACGGCCCAGACUCCUACGGGAGGCAGCAGUUGGGAAUCUUAGGCAAUGGACGAAAGUCUGACCUAGCGACGCCGCGUGAGGGAAGAAGGCCUUCGGGUUGUAAACCUCUGUCAUGGGGAAGAAGGAAGUGACGGUACCCAAGAGGAAGCCCCUGCUAACUACGUG